AUCUAGCUGAUGAGUCCCAAAUAGAACGAAGCAUACAUCCUGUAU
rnacentral:hammerhead_ribozyme from 1 species